rnacentral:rRNA from 1 species
GAUGAACGCUGGCGGCGUGCCUAAUACAUGCAAGUCGAGCGAUCAGACGAGAGGUUGGCGCCUCUGACGAUAGCGGCGCACGGGUGAGUAACACGGGGAUAACCUACUUAUAUUACGGGGAUGACUUCGGAAAACCGGAGCUAAUACCGGAGAAUAUAUUGGACCGGAUGGGGCAGUAGGUAAAGACGGUUUUGCUUUCACUUAUGGAUUGACCCGCGCCGCGUUGGGUAGUUGGUAAGGUAACGGGUUACCAAGUGAACGAUGGGUAGCCUAGGUGAGCGAGUGGUAGGCCACCUUGGAACGUAGACGCGGUCCAGACUACUACGGGACGGCGCAGUCGGGUACCUUACGCAAUGGGCGAGAGCUUUGCGGAGCGACGCGGCGUGAGUGAUGACGGUCCUGGGAUCGUAAAGAUGUGUUAUUAGGGAAGAACAACUGUGUCCGUCAAUAUGCACGUCUUGACGGUAGAUGAUGAGAAAGCCACGGCUAACUACGUG